rnacentral:rRNA from 1 species
AAGGUUGACCUCGGAUCAGGUAGGACUACCCGCUGAACUUAAGCAUAUCAAUA